rnacentral:rRNA from 1 species
UACGUAGGGGGCGAGCGUUGUCCGGAUUUAUUGGGCGUAAAGAGCGUGUAGGCGGCCAGGUAGGUCUGCUGUGAAAACUCGAGGCUCAACCUCGAGACGUCGGCGGAAACCAUCUGGCUAGAGUCCGGAAGAGGAGAGUGGAAUUCCGUGUGAGACGGUGAAAUGCGCAGAUAUCGGGAAGAACACCCGUGGCUAAGGCGGCUCUCUAGUACGGUACUGACGCUGAGACGCGAAAGCGUGGGGAGCGAACAGG